GCCUACGGGGGGCAGCAGUGAGGAAUAUUGGUCAAUGGGCGAGAGCCUGAACCAGCCAAGUCGCGUGAGGGAGUACUGCCCUAUGGGUUGUAAACCUCUUUUGUCGGGGAGCAAAAGCCGGACGUGUCCGGCUGUGAGAGUACCCGAAGAAAAAGCAUCGGCUAACUCCGUGCCAGCAGCCGCGGUAAUACGGAGGAUGCGAGCGUUAUCCGGAUUUAUUGGGUUUAAAGGGUGCGUAGGCGGGACGGUAAGUCAGCGGUAAAAAUGCGGAGCUCAACUCCGUCGAGCCGUUGAAACUGCCGUUC
rnacentral:rRNA from 1 species